GUGCUUUGCCCAUUUUUCUAUUUGUUUUUCUUUUCCUUAUUGACUUCUAAGAACUCAUCUGUCAUAUAUCUUGAAAAUAUUUCUUCUGGUUUAUUAUUUGCCUUUAGACUUCAGGAUUUAAAAUUUUUACUUAGCCAAUUUUUAAAAAUCUUUCCCUUUGUGAUUCCCAUAUUUUGUGUCAUACAGUCCCCAAUCCAAGAAUAUAUACAUUUAAAAUCUCUUAUUAAUGUUUUCUUCUAGUAAUUUUAUGAUUUCCUUUUCACUUUUAAACAUUUCAUCCAUCCGGGACUUAUUUCAGAAUAAGGAAUAGAGAACUGAUUUUAUUUUAUUUUUCCUAAACAGCUAGCCAGUUUUCCAAUUUGAUUGAAUAAUUCAUCUUUUCUCCUCUGAUCUAAAAUGUCAAUUUAUCAUAUAUUCAAUUUCCAUUUGUUCACGGUGUCUGUCUGGACACUCUUCUGUUCCUUUGAUCUGUCUGUCUGUUCCUGUGCCAGGACUCAACUGUUUUAUUACUGGAGCUUUAUACAACAUUUUAGUAGCUCUAGUUGCCCCCUAUAAUCCCUCUUUUUCAGAAUUUUCCAAGCUCUUUUUGCAUGUUUAUUUUUCCAGAUGAAUUUUAAUAUAAUCAAAUUCAAAAGAUCUUGUUGUUUUUCACAUCUUCUAACAUGCAAUUUUCUGACUUCUCAGCCCACAGCAGAACAGAAACAAGUCAACAAGAACAAGGUGGGGUGGUCAGCCUGAGGCAGGCAAGGUGAUGGUAGUGGAAAUGACAACUAAUAGGAGGGAGUUGAUGAAGAACUAUAACAAGUAGACACAUCAACUAUUAAAAUGUAGCCAUCAUAGAAUGGGCCUUUAGUGUGGGGCUGAACAAGACCCUGGAUUUUCACUGUAUUACAGCCAGGAUAGUGAUGGACACUUGUAACCACAGCUCUGAGUCAUAAAGACUCACAUGUUCUGCAACCUCUGAUUAAGAAGGCAGGAAAGUGUGUAAUAGCCACUAGUGAUUUCCAUCCAAAAUAUCUCUUUUUAAGGUCUCAGAUAUUAAUGUCUGGAAAACUAGUGUGAAAUGGUUCAUUCUUGAAUGAUGACAGAAGUAUGACAUAUUACUGGUUUCUCUACAGUUUUCUCAAAACCCACCUCCAAAUUCCAAGAAGCUGCCAACUCUGGGAUUUGAAUUCACUCUAUCUGUGGAAACACAGCUGAGGGAAACAUCCUCAGCCUUUCAGCCAGUCCACACACAAUAAUAAAAAAAAAAAAACGGUUUAGCUCUUACUAAGCAUCUGUCUCCAAUACACGAGGCAUGUUAUACGCAGACUACAUUUUAAUCCUCAAUGGCCCCACUAGGUGAAUACUACACUCCCAUUAGACAGGAAACUGAGGCUCAGAGAGAUCAGACUUGGGCAAGUUCAAGUUAACAUGUGACAAAGAACCCUCAGCCACCUUCACUCCCACAUGCCACUAACCAGACCUGUUCAACUCACUGCCAACCACCACAUGAUGUCCUAAAGGCCACCAAUCCUAUUCAGACAUCCCUUUGUAGGGCCUUGCCCAGAGCCUGAAUAGCCAGGAGAGGCCUCAUCCCUGCCUCUGAGUGUCAGCAACGGUGGAAGGAGGUGCCAACCUGGGCCAUCUAGGGAAGGAAGGGACAGACCCCAGGCCACCCACUGACCAGCCCCUGAGAUCCAGGGCUCAGGCAGUGGGGAGGGUGCCUCUGGGACUCAGGAAAUAACUCCAAGGUGAGUACUGCCUGCCAUAGCCUGGCAUGGCCUCCCUACACUCCCUGGUUAUCUCAGGAAAGACUCUGUGUUCACCAUACCAUACCUGUGCCAGCCUGGUCCUGUCCUGGACACCGGAGGGAAUGGGAGUUGUGCAGGUGACAUGCAGAGGGAGGAGGCGGCAGGGAAAGGCACUUCCUUGGGAGUAUCCCAUCCAAGAGGAGAUAAAGGUCAAUGCACUCCUAUGUUUUUCCUUGACAGCCAAUUGUUAAGGCCCUCUAGAGCCCUAAUGGUGCCUGUCAGAGAUUCAGGUAGAGAGAGGUGGGCCCCUGAGGGCCUCCAGGCUCAGAGCUCCUGGGCAAAGGUGGGACUAUAGGGUCAUGAAUCUAGUGUCAUCGACUCUCCCCCCCCCCCCCCCCCCGCGCCGCCCUCCCCACCUCCCACCUGAGUUUGCAGCCCUUUGUGACCCCAGCCCAGGACCUAGCUGACAGUAGAUCAGUGACCCAGACGAAGACGAGGGCAAGGGAACCAAUUCAUUUCAGCACCUAGUCAUCAUGAAGCGCCUACUACGCACAAAGGACCGUGCUGUUGGGGUGGAAUGAAAAGGGGCCCGGGCAGAAGCCACGUUCGCUGGAAGGCGAGCAGAGCGCCACGAGAAGGCCUUGGAGCAGUGGGAACCCCAACGCCCAGCAUCCCCAACUUCGGCGCGCAGAAGAGCCGCGGACUCCGGAGCUCCGCGCGCGCUCCCAGGGUCGGCGCCGCACGCGCACGCGCGCCCGCAGCCGCUCCCCCGCCCGCACAGCUCUGGCUCCCGCGCGCGCGCACUUGAGGCGUCCCUUGUGCGUCUCCUCCAUUCGCUACGUGCAGAAUGGUCCGUCGGCAGCAGCUGCAGCGCCGGGUGGGAGGGGGAGGAGGAGGGGAGGGGAGGGGGAGGCGGCGCCCAGGUCUGGAGGAGGGGCCGCGGCGGGCCGGGCCGGGGAGAGCUGGGGGAGAGGGGCUGCGCGAGAGCCCGGGUGGGCGCGACGCUUCCCCCGCUCGUCUCCUGCUCGCCAUUGCUUCCUUCUGUGAGGCCAUUACGGCCGUCCCCCUGCUCCCUGCCCCGGCGUCCUGGAGCCCAGCCGACCACGAGGGUUUUUCUCCGUGUUGUAUCUUCCCGAAAACCCAGAACCCAAACCCAAGAAAGAACCACUCCUGUUGUCCUCUCUCCCCUCCUCCAGUCCCAAUGACAUUUCCCGGCUUUUGUGUGAGAUGACCCAAAAGCAAGCCCUUCUCCACUCCUCCUCCAUGCAAUGGGGUCCCUAAAAGCUACCCUCACUCCCCUUCUCUCUUACUCACCUGGAGGAAGGGGAAUGGAGAGGAUGGACACCAGAGCCUCCUAUUUCCCAGCAUUUCCACACAGGGAAGGCAAGCAUCUCACCGUGCGCACUCCGACAGGAGGGCAGGAGGGCGGAAAGGUGGAAUAGCCCAGAAGAGCAGGCUGCUGCCCAGGCCCCUAGGCCACAUCCGAAGGACGUAUGUCAGGACCCUCCUAGAUUGGCAUGAAUUCACCCACAUUACGGGGCUGGGUCCUACACACCUGUUUGUAAAGAGCUCCCCAGGAAUGUAGUGCUGAGGGGCCACCAAGGGGUGGAUGGUAUAUCCCUGGAGGAUCUCAAAUAGACAAGUUCCCUGUCCUGCCAGGAAUCCAGAUGUUGCCCAGAUGUCCACAGCAGCCCCUCCUAGAGGGUGGGACACCAGCUAUUCUGUGCAGCCCCUCCCAACCCAUCUCCCAGGGUCAAGGGAGGAAAGCUGGCGACCUCCACUGCCCCUUCCCCAUUCCGGCUGUUGGGAGGGGGCAGCUCCCUCAUCCUGGGUUCACUUCUAAGGCAGUCACCUGAGUUCAGCCUGUGAUCUAACCUCUAGUCCUCUGCUGACAGGUUAAGUCUAGAGCCCCAGGAAGGAGGGCGUCCUGGGUCAGUUUCAUUUCACAUAAACGGACUGUCCCUGGAUCCAGGGAAGCGGAUUCUCCCGUUUCCUCCCCGGUGCCUCAGUCUUUUUGGAGGCGCCCUCUGCUGGCCACUGGGAAGUGCAGGAAAGAACAGAGUCCUGCAGACUCAAAGAGCGUCUACAGAAAGGGACAAGAGGUAGAGGCAACCGGGAGCCAACUGAGAGCGGUGGCUGGACUGCCACAAAUAAGAGAGGCAUGCUGAAGCCUUCUUGGAGGCCCCGUUCCAGACCCAGCCAGGGUGAAGAGGACUCCCAGGGGCGGAGAUCGAGGCCCAGGAGAGAACAGAGAGUAUCCUGCUUUAAUUGGAGGUAAUUAGUUAAUUUACUCUGAAAGCAGUGGGGGAGGGGAGGGGUUAGGGCCUGUGGACUAAUAGGGCUCAAAUUCUCAAAUCCUGGUGAGUCUCUUUCCAGACCAGAGCUGAUCUGAGUGAACCCACACACACAGGAGCGGCAGUCUUUGGCCCCAGGCCAGACGAAGGCCUGGAGCAGACUGGGGUGGCCCUGCAGGAAAAAAGCAGGUGCCCUGGAGUGGGCAGAACAGGCCUUUUGAGGUUAGGCAGGUGGGAACUGGCCUGAGAAGGACUGGGGAGGUGCAGGGGGCUCUGGAAUGGGAACUCUCCUCUGACGGAUAAUUUCAUCCCUCUCAAGGUCAGUGCCCCCCUCCCCAAGUUAGGGUCCCCAUUCUGAGUCAGUGGGCUCCCUGGGCGGCUCAUCCUAAGGGAAACAGGGCCGAAGGCUAACUUCAUUCACUGCCUCCUGCUUCAGGAAACCAUUCCAAUCACCGGGAAAGGGGCGUCGGAGGCUAGAGCCCCUGCCGGGCCCCCGGGGGCGUGUCGUCGGCCCGACGCGUCGCCGGCCAGCGGCGUGGCGAGGACUCUGGCCGGCAGCCUCCCGCGCCGUCAGGAGCAGCUGACUCGCUGGCGGCGGGCCAGGUCGUGGCGGGGCCGGGAGGCAGCAACGUGCGGCGCGGCAUGUCGCGGGCUCAGCGGCGGGGAAACGUGGGGGCGGGCCCGGCGCGCCGCCCCCCCCACCCCACGCAGGCCCAUUCAUAAAACCCGCGGGCGCUGCCGGGCCUGGCAGCCUGGACUCCUAAUUGCAAACUCAUUAAGGAGUUUGCAUCUCAUUUGCAUGGAAAUCAUUUCCUGGCCCUAAACAGACGAAUGCCCCCUUCCUUCAGCCCCCUUUGCCCCGCUCUACCCAUCCACAGUCUGGGAGGGGAGAGGGGCCUGUCUCUGCCCUGUGCCCCCUCCUUUGCCUCACCCCUCCCAUCCCCCUGGUGAGGAGUGGGGCAGGGGGGUUGGCAGAGCACCCACCUAGCUGGGAUUCCUACCUGGGCCGCAGGUGAGCCGGCUCUGCCCCAGUGGGUCCAAGCGAGGGGAGGUGCCCGCCAAGUCAUUUGCCCCCCGGCCUGGCCAUGCCCAGGGAAGGGAGGAGGCGGCUGGCGGCUGGCCGCAGCAGCUGGUUGUACCUGGCAGGACUAGGGCUGGUGGGUGAGGCUGUUCGUGCCCAGCCUCACGUACAUGCUUAGCCACAGGCUGUGCUCCCACCCCCACACCCCUCGCCCCACAGAACAAGCGCCCAGUGACUACAGAAACAGACACCCAGUCACGGCGCACAAAGGCACCCACACCGGGCCGGCCAUCAUGGCCGCCGCCCUGGCAGCUACCCUUGGGGGCAGGCAUAUGCCUUCACAAGCCAUUUGGUCCUUCUUCAGCGCCCUGCCAGGGUUGGGGGGAAGGGGCUUCUCUUGAGACUUUUCUGAGUAAGGGGAGCUAGUAGAGGAGCUCUCUUCUGUAUCCCAGACGCAGCUUCUUCCCCUCCUCUUCUGCAACCCAUAUUCAUGGAGGCCCCAGGUGCUGCACCCUGCGUGAGGACGUGCCCAGGCACAGGGUUGCAGGGCCCUCCAACCCAGAAGGGGCAGCGGAGGAGGAAGCCCCUGAGGAAGGAGCACCUAAGUGCCUCCCCAGUGGGGCCCUGUCCUUCCUGUCCCAAAUGUGUGUAUGCUCCCCAACUUCCAGGACGGGGGGAACCUUGUAAACUGUUGGAAAUGGACUAGAAUUACCUAAAGCACAUGAAAUCAGAUUCUACUGGGGACAUAAUGUCCUGGUUCUAUAUAUCCUGAGACAGUUUAAAAAGUAAUCACAAAACUUGUAGCAUUAGGGUCUAAAACAAAAACCUCCUUCUUGUCCAAAUCAUCUGGGUCCCUCCCCAGACAUAGCCCUGCUUAUGCUUCCUGUCUGCCCACACUCCCACCUGCUGCCCCUGAAGUUUCUCCCUUCCCUUGCUAGAGCAUGAAGAGGUGGGCAAGGAUGUUCUGGAACACUGACCAUAGUCCAUCCUGAAUGGAAUUGGACUGACUCGACCCUCUCAUCUCCUGGAGCAGCUGGGUCUAAAGUGUGUGUGCACGGGUACAGACGUACAGGAGGAAAAUAUUAGGACGUCGGUGGGUGUUUUCAUUUCAUCCCUUUUUCAUUUAGUGUGAGUGUGUCUUAAUAUAAAACUAUGUUUAUGUUACAGGUGCAUGCUUAACAAUUUUUUUAUUGCUACAGAGCACGAUCAAAAAAACUUUGGAGACCACUGGUCUAGGCUUAUGGUGGGGUGGUUGCACAUGGGGGAUGGCUUGUCUUGUUCAUCUUAGUAUCUGUCCUGAGAAAUGGUCAGCUCAGAGCCUGGCAGGGGGCAGGGGGCAGGAGGCAGGGACAGAGACAGAGUGUUGAAUGAACAAAGUCCACCCCUAGAACUGACAGGUGAGCAAACUGAAAUAACUCUGGGUGGGGAGUUUGCUCAGAGGAGCAUAUAGGCAGGUGGAGGGAGCCUCUCAUUGCUGCUGCGUCUGCAGCCUGCCCAUGCCCAACACCCAGCAUGCACCCAAACCCACUUCCAGCCACCCCAGUGAGCGCAGCACCGUCCUCUGCCCGCUGGCAGCGUGGCCUGUCUGAGCUCCUCACUAGCUCCUGACUGGCACAGCCAGGCAGGGUUGCCACCUGCCAUAUCCUCUCUUAACCUGGUGCGAAACCUAUUGGAGGUUUCCUAUCCUAGAACUCUCUGGAAGCUAACCUGGUGUAGGAGAAAGAAUUUAGGCUCCACAAGUACUCAAUCCUUUUCCAGCUGGGCUACCUUGGGCCCAAGACAUAACCAGUAUGAGCCUUGGUUUCCCCAUCUGUAACAUGGGACUCAUAAUCAUACUCUAUACAUAAACAACCCUAUACAGAGUUGUUGUACAUAUUGAAUGGCCUACUGUGUGUACAGGGUCUGGCACAUAGUAGGUGUUCAGUAAGAUUCUUACCUCCUUUGUGCAGCAGGUGCCCCAUAAAGAACCUGUUGAACUGUGAUUUGCCGUGAGCAUGGGAAGGAGAAUUCUGAAGGCAGACCGAUGAACCUUUGCAGAACACCUUCCUGCAGAAAUUAACAGCCACCUCAGCAGCCUGGGGUCCUCUCCAGGCUCACCCACUCCCUGGAGGGGCAUCCCAUCCCCACCUUUUUUCCACCCAGCUCCUGUUUCUUUUUCUGCGCUGCGUUCACUUCAAGUAUGAGCCAAGGGUGACACCUGGUGGCCAUUUCUGUAGCUGCAGAACCCAGAGCGGAGACACCCAACAACAGGAGGGGCGUGAGGUGAGGUCCCGUGGGUGAAGGAGCCAUUCUUUCCAGCACUUUCCCUGCACCUCCUAACUCCCUCUCAGGGCCCAGGGAACAUCCAGGAUGCCCACUCCUCAUUCUGCCUUAGAGCAGCCCCUCCUCACUCCCCCUGAGAACAGCCUGAGCUCUGAAGGUUGCACCUGCCUGAUGAGCAGGGUGACCAAGGAGGCCUCUGCUCAGACCCUGCCCUGGCCCCAGGCAGAAGGCAAAAGGACAAUGGCUACCCUUCCCCAAGUGCUGCGGGCCAAUAGGCAUCAUCUCAUUCAAAUCUUAUCACCAGGGCCUAUUAUGACAACAGAGAAACCAGGUACAGCAAGGUUAAGCAACCUGCUCCGGGUCACAUGGUUCCUAAGUGCCCAAAUGAUGAAAUGAGUGGAACACCUGGCAAGCCUCUGGGGGACAGAGGAGGCCAAAAGGAAGUGGCCUGCCAUUGGGUUAGAAGUGCCAAAUUCCAAUCCAGCCUUGCCCAACAAGUAGAGUGACCUCCUUCAAGGGCCUUCUGCUGGCUGAGCGCCAGUCUCCUUGAUGGUACCAUGCGGUGUUCGAUAGAGCCGUGAUUCUCAACUGACUGUAUGCAAGAAUCACCUGGGGAGAAUGUUUUAAAUACCGACGCUUGCCCCGGCACUGGCUGAUGAAAUCAAUAUCAGUAGGAGUGGGACCGAGGUAUAGGUAUUUUCAAAAUCUUUUUAAAUGACUCAACAUGAAGCCAGGGUUGAGAAGGAGGCCUCUGGGAGAUUCCAUCUUCAGAUCUCCCUGCACUCCAGAGGUCAGCCCCUGAGGCCUCCCUGCUGCCCGGAGGGCUCACCAGAGAAACAGCCCUCUCUCCCCCAGCAUUCCCUGGACAUCUUAACUGGUCCGCCCAGACCCCCAGGACAAGCUGCCUCCCCACCCCCUGGGCCUUCAGGGAGAAUACUGGCUAUCAGUCCUUCCCAGAGGGGGCUCAGCAGGUGUGACCCCACGCCUGGCCUCUGGGGUGGGGGCAUGGAAGGCCACUGGGAGCUUAACCCCAACAGGAUGAAGGCGCCAUAAUUAGGGUCAGGCGGUUGGCUCAGCCUGCGGAAAUCCCCAGCUUAGUAGGGAUGGGGGUGCUUCAGCCUGGGAAGGGGGGUCAGGGCAGAAGUGAGGGGGCAGAGGAGCUCAGGCAUGUGGAAACCCCAGGGCCUAGCCCCUAGCCACCUCCUGAAAGGGCCCUCUAGAAGCUCAACACCGUUACCCCCCCACCCUGGACUCACUGACCGCCCAGGGAGGGAGGGACGGGACGGACCAGCCCCCCAACCCCAGCAGCCCUGCUGCUCCCGUCAGGCUGGGGUGUGCCAGGAUCAUCCCCCUACUCUGGCGUUUGGUGGGAGGACGAGGGCACCGGUGGGAAAGCACUAAGUGAGCGUUCCCAGGGCAACGCAGGCUUCUCUCCAGCCUGUAAUCCUCAGGCCUUGAGUGAGGGAUCACUUUCCUCUGUGGAAUGUAACACGGAGGGGACAAAAGGGGGCAGAGGGAUGGGGGAGGGGGAGGGAAGAUGCCAGGGAAUGAACUUUGCUGGGGGUACUUUCCAACCCCCAAAAGGCCCUUCAGGAGGUGGCAGCUGCAAAGAGAGAAGUCACCCCCAUCUCCAGCUCACCCCAGGGCACAAGGUCUCCGGCUGGGCUGGCCAGGUAGCUCACAGCAGACCCUGCGUCCUAACACUGGGUGCCUGGGUGAUCACCUUUGCUAACCACUCAUUUGCAGAGGAGGAAAUGGGUUCUGAGAGUUUAGAACCGGCCAAGGUCAUGCAGCUCAGAGCCCCACCUAGAAGCCCCAGCUUUCCAAGAGACUGGCCGAGUGAGCCAGCGAGCACUGAAACCUGUAGGCUCAGGAGUUCCCAUGCUCACCUGGGCUGGAGUCCCUCUGCUCCCACAGCAGGACACCCCUCCUUCCUGCCCUCCUGGGUCAUGGGCUGGGCAUGGCGGGACAAGCAGAGGGCAAGUGCCUGCUCGUCACCACAAGCCUGUGAUGGCUGGGACCAGGGGCCAGCCCAGUGACUCCCACAUUGAGAUUCAACACUGAUUCCUCCAGGAAGCCUUCCAGGCUGAUCCACAAAGGGCUAGCUGUGCCCCCCACAUCCAGCCUUGACUUCCCAAAAGGUAUCCUCCCCUCCCCUACCUCACCUCUGGCCCAUCACAUAGGUUCUACAUGGGUCUCAGUUCUGCAAACUGUGGGCUCUCCCCAUACUUUGACCCAGGAACCCCUGAGGGCAGGACCAUGGGGGCAAAGACAGUGCUGUGCCCAGCCCAGCACCAGCCGCAGGGAGACUUGAGAGACAGAGGGUCUUAGAAAGGGGGCAGAACUCAUCUCACGUCACAGAACCUGGAAAGGACCCACAGUGGGAAGUCACUUCAGAAGUCAUCUGGUCCAGCCCCGCCAUGGCCUUCCAGUUGGGGGUCAGCCUCCUGUGUUAAUGCCUAUAGAGAUGGACAUCUCUUCAAGUAUUCAUUCGCUCAUUCAUUCAUCCAACGAACCUCACCCAGCCACCUCCUACCUCUCAGGGGCUGAGGCAACCCAGUCCAUUUUCAAGAGCAUAGGCUAAAUCCUUAACAAAUAGAAUCAGAGGCCUACGGACCACCCUUCCUGGGCCUAGUGCUAAGUGGAAGUAGAACUUGCUGCUUGGCAACACCCCUGCACACAUUUGUGUUGCCCUGUGGCAUUAAUGCAGCGUUUGCAGCCCCACGUUUCCCUUCAGACUCAUGACAACCGUCCCAGGUGGUGUUGACCCUCCUUGACGGGGAAGCUGCGGCUCAGAGAGGAGGAAUGACUGCAGCUGGAAGAGAGGUGGAGCCAGGACUCAGCCUGCAUGGCUGCACCGUCAGCCCGGCACUCACUUUACACCCACCCUGGCCCUCCACAGGCUGGGCUUUCAGGUGGAAGACAAGCCUUGCCCAGGGGGAAAGAAAAUGUGAGUUAGGCUCCUAACUAUCAAAAUAAUAACGGUGAAGACAAGUCAGAGGCCUGCUGGGUUCCAGACACUGUGCAGGCGAGUCAGGUGUUGAACCCAGAACUCCUACCCCCACUCCUCUGGGGCCAGUGCAAUGCCCUGGGCUACACAGCCGGCACAUGCACGUGUGCACACACACACCCCCAGGUGGUAUGAGUCCCUGCAUGUCCCAGGGGACAGGGUGUCCCAGCCGCUUCGCUCCCCUCUGAUAACCCAGCCGCUUCCAGCAGGACAGGCACAUACCCUUCAGGCUGACCACAUUGGGCACAUGCCAGGCCAGCUGCCAGGGCCCUGGUCUCCACCCCACUGGACCCUAGAGGAUGACCUCCUCCAUGGCUGACGCUGCUCAACCUCAGGAAGGGGGGUGACUCCCCAGGAUGUGAGGCCUAGAGCCCCCCCAAGCCCCUCCUCAGAGCCAGCAUGUGCUGCGGGGCUGAAGCCUAAUGAGGAGUCUCAGGGAUCCCCCUGGCUUUGUCUGGGCACCAGCCCCUUGGCACACUCCAGGGAGAUGCAGAGGAACAAGGAGAGGCACAAGAGGGGCCAACAGGACUCCAGCAGGAAAGGGGUGGUGGGGUGGGUGGUAGAGGGGGAAGCAGGAGUGAAUCAGAAAGGUGGAGGCAUCUGUGUGAGGUCAAGGUUUGGAACCAAGGAGAAGUAUGGAAAAGGCUUGGCCAAGGACUGCUAACAGGGCAGCUGGAACUUAGGAAAGGGAAGACCUCUGGGGGCGUGGGAGGAGGUCAUCAAGAAAUGGACCCUGGAGCAGGCAGAGCUUAUAAGCUGGGUGCCCUUGGGCAGGUGGCUUGCUCUCUUUGAGCCCCUCAGUAUCAUCUGCAAAGUGGGAAUAAAAAUCGUACUCCCCUCACAGACUUGUGGGAAGUAAAUGAGGUCUUGGGUGUAAAACACCGCAGAGCACCUGGCACCCAGGACUGCUCAAUUCACAGGGGCUGUACUGAGGAGGCCCACAGGGCCGGGAGAGCAAACCCUGAACAAUAAGCCACACCUGCCCUGGGGCUGUUAGGAAGGGGUUUACAGAGCAGAGAGGCAGGGGGCCUGGGGCCAUGGACCCCCGGUAACCUCUGCCCUCAAUGCCCUUGUCCCUUGAACGGUAUGAGGGACAAAUAAGAAGGUAAGACAGCCACUGCUGCCAUGGUGGCAGCGUUCUGGAGGAUUCUGGAGGGUCCUGGGAGAACUGCUCUUCGCCCCAUGCCCUCUUCAUUCACAUGAGGGGGUGGAGGUCCAGGGCGGGAUAGGGACUCACCCAGGGUCACUCUGAGAAUGAGGACAGAAGGCAGGUCUGCUAACCCCCAAGCCAGCCUCCUCUUCUUUGUAAGGCACGCUGUCUCCUGUCCAGAAGGGGAAGCCAGGGGCGAAGAUCCCUCAACCCCGUGAAAGGGAGAGAACUAGAAACCACGUUCCCUGGAAAUGGAGAUGAGAAGCUCCACUCCUCUUCCCACUCAGAGCUUUAACUAAGACCCUGCUGAGGCCUGGUGAACACUUACACUUCCUCCAAAGACCAAACCAAAGACACCCGCUCUGGGAAGCCCUCCCAGUGAUGGCAGCGGUUCCAAGCUGUGUCCUGCAGUGGCCUCUCUUUGAGGCUUUGGCCUAGCCACCACCCUGGUCAGUGCACACGUUGUUUCCCCCCAAUGAGCUGGAGUUUUUGAGCCCAGGGGCAUGGUCUUAAGCAAGUUGGAGGCCCCGACACCACGAUCCAGCCUAGCACAGGUGUAUUUAGAAUGAAGGAAUCCUGACCAGUUGGCCCCAGACCCACCAGGGGCAAGGGUGACCGACGGGUAGGGACGGGGCUCUGGGGCAGCUGCCAUCCUGUGCUGGCCAGUCCCUCCCUCCCCCAUACCUGAGCCCUGUGCUAAGAGCAAGUUCCUGGUGCAGGCUGUACCCUGUCCUGGAUGCCUGGCAUUUACCAAAAGGGCAGAGACAGUGAGAAGGGCCUCCCCUGUGCCAUCCUCUCAGAAAGGAGACAGGGCAGCAGGCAGGAGGGAAGGGAGUUAGGUUUCAAAGUGCCCGAAGAUGACAGAAUGACAGAGGAUGCUCACCAUGUCCAAACCGACAAAGGAUUAAUAUCUAGACUAGAUGACACAAGGAAUGUCUGCCGAGCAACAGGAAGACAGCAACCCUACCCCAAAAGGGACAAGACAUACAAACAGGCAGUUCAAGGAGACAGACCCUAAAGCUAACAAGCACGAGAAGAGGUGCUGAAAAUCACCACUUUACCUCUGGUAGAUGGGCAAAAAUGAGAAAGCUGGAUAAAGCCCAGCGCUGGUGGGGAUGUGGGGACACAGGAGCCCUAUGCCCGGUGAUGUAGGCUAGGCAGCCACUGUGGACUCGGGUUGGCCACGCUUAGUCAAAUGAAACACAGUGAGCGCUGUGACCCAGCGGCUCCACUCACGAAUACAGCCUCGGAAUCAGCCUGGUCCCUACAAGCCAGGAAGGGGGAGUCAUGCCGCUUGUUCAUGGUGGGGAACAGAAAAUUGUGGAGCGGCAUCACAGGGUACAAUGCAGCAGUUUGAAGUAACAAGGCUAGAUUUUUUAAACAGUGCUGAGUGAAGGAGACCUAUAACACAAUGACAUUUACCAAAGUUGAAAAAAAAAAAAACAUGUUUACAAAACAGCAGCCCUCAUUUGCAGAAAUAUUUGCAUCAAAUACUAUGAGGGGAGAAGGGAAGCAUGUGGAAAGAGGGUGAAAAGGAAUAAACACACAAACGAAACAAGAAAGGCCAGUGAUACCCAUGCACCUGCCGUGAACUGAGACUAACUCUGCACCUGCGGGCUGUGAAGGCAGACCAUGCCCCAGGCCCUCAGCACAGGCUCUCGGCUGGAGCCAGGAGCCCACGUGCAUGAGGGGCAGAAAUGGGCUGACCUCAGAGGUCACCUCUCCCACCACCCCCCACCACCAGCAAGGGAGGGUCUUGGCCAAAGUCAAUCCACGGCAGACUUGAAGCCCCACCCAGCUUGCGUGGCUUUUGUGCCCUGGAAAUGGAAGUAGAAGGAACCUCAAACCUGGAGCAAUGGGGCUUGCCUGAGCUGGUUGCAAGGAGGAAAUGAGAAGCAUUUGCCUUCACAAAAGUCUCUGUAAUUAAGGGUUUUUCUUUCUUUUCUUUAAGGAGAGUCCUUAUCUUUAGACACAUUCAGAAAUGUCUGUGAAAUGAUAUGCUGUCUGCAGUGUGCUUCAAAAUAAUCUAGGGGGGCCGGCCCAGUGGCCGAGUGGUUAGGUUCGCGCGCUCUGCUUCAGCGGCCCAGGGUUUCACUGGUUCAGAUCCUGGGCGCAGACAUGGCAUCCCUUGUCAAGCCAUGCUGAGGCAGCAUCCCACAUGCCACAACCAGAAGGACUCACAACUGGAAUAUACAACUAUGUACUGGGGAGAGUACUUUCGGAAGAAGAAGAAGGAAAAAGUUAUCAUAGUCAUCAUCAUCAUCUAGGGUGGGGCGGGAGAGUGUGGGUGGCGGGAUUGAUGAAAUCAGAUUGGCCAUGAAUUGACACUGCUGAGUCUGGGAAUGGGUGCAUGGAAGUUCAUUAUGCUUUACACUCUACUUGCAUGUCUGUUGGAAAGUUUCUAUACUAGAAACUUAAAAAAGGAAAGUUUCCAAUAAGAAAGUCUCCCAUGUGAGGAGACUGGUUUCUGACUUCAAGGAGCCCCAAUGUGAUAGGGGAGACACAGCCUUCUGCCCUCUGUGUGGCCAAGGCUCCCUGCAUCUUCUCAGCUCACCCUGCCGGCCAUGGGCCACACGUGAGAAAGAGGCACGAUCUCAGCACCAAAGCCUGGCCUCCCAGACCUGGCCUUUGUCACUGAGGCCCAAGGGUCAGGCACUGGAACCACAUCUAAGCAGAUCUGGUUCCAGUUCUGGCUCCACCUGCCCAUGGCCCUAAGCUCCUCACCUUAACAGCACCUGCCUGGAACGGAGGAAACACCCAGUGAGGCCAGCUAUUAUCAGGGGGGAGAAGUCUCCACUGGCCCAGCCCCUCCCCAACCAAGUCUCUCUGUUCUUGUUGUGGUUGCUCACCUCUGGCUGCCUCUGCCUCCACGUCCAUGUAAUGAGGACCAGAAUCACCAGGUGAGUUUGAGCAUUACAUGAGGCGAUGUUUCAUGAAUGGUCUUACUGUCACCAGGACCAGGGGAGGGAGCUGGUCAGAAUCACACAGCCAGGUAGUGACAGAGCUGGCUUAGUCACAGAUGCAUGACACUGAGCCAGCUGCCAACACCCCGUCACCAUGAGGCCCGUAGGCUGGUAGACAGAGUGUCCUCGUUCAGAAUCUGGGGUGGUGCCCUUGGGACCAUUCCAUCCAGCCCCUAGUCCCACUCCCAGAGCCUCUCACUCAGGGGAGCACCAGGGACGCUGUAUGGGUGAGAUGCAAGCCAGGAAGGGGAGGGCUUGGGAAAGAGGAAGACAGAAGACUUUAUCCUGCCCUCUACGAACACAGAAGGGUCCAGGGACAUCCGUCUGGAAGAGUGUGUCCAGACUCAGGGGCUCUAUCAGGGGCUGCAGGGUGACUCCUAGGUGAGGGGUGGCAGCCUGGCCUGGACUCUCCUUUCGUGACAAUAGUAAUAGUAAUAGUGGAUGCUUGUAUAGUUCCUACUAUGCACCAGGCAGUGUUCUAUCUGCCUUAUGUAUAUUAUCUCAACUAAUUCUCACAGCCAUCCUAAGAGGCCAAUGCUAUUAUUGUCCCUGUUUUACAGAUGGGGAAACUGAGGCAUAGAGAGGCUCAGUAACUUUCCCAAAGUCUCUCAGCUUGUAACCAGCAGAGCUAGGAUUUGAUCCGGGGCAGUCUGCCUUGAGUCUGUGCUCUUGACCACCCCAAUGCACUCUCAGAGAGGGACAGACUGGCCUCUCCUAAGACAGUACUUCUGAUUCCUGAGGGAUCUGGUGGUUGUUGAUGUGUGCGUGUGCAUGUGCAUGUGUGUGUGUGUGUUGGGGGGCUCAACCACAAAGGGGUACGGGCCAAUGGCCACGCCUCCUUCCCCCAUGGGAGCCUGAGGCACCUGUCCCCCAUCUGCCUCCUGGGAGCUCAGAGGGUGGGGAGACCAGGCAGAGCAGCAGCUGGUACCCUCUUUACCCCGUGGACGGGCCCUUCCCCCGGGGCAGCCAGCGCUGGCACUGGGGCAGGACUUCUAUGUGUCUCCUGCUCUGGAAAGCAGAGUAGAAAGUAAGUGAAUGACAGGAUCAGAGGCAGGCUUGAAUUUACUCUUUUUCUUCUUAAUUUAAAUCUUUCACAGAAAGUUGACCAAAAUCAGUAACUAAUUACUUGUGAAACUCCCUCACAGCCACUCACAGCGCAGCCCUGGGGAAUGUCUGUCCUUUCUGGGAUGGGAGCAGCUGAGGCAUUCCCUGCUCCCUCCCCCUGAAGCUCGUCCCUCUGCAAAGAAAUGGCACCUAAUACAGAGGUCAGGAGCUGGGUCUUUGGAGGCAGACAAAGCUGAGCUCAGGGUGAGUACUGCCUCUUCCAAGCUGUGCCACCCCCACCACAUAUUAGUUAAUCUCUCUGGGCCUCAGUCUUCUCAUCUGUGAAGUGGGAGUGGUGAUACUGUCCCUCACAGAGCUGUUAAAAGGUUUAAAUGAAGUCACGUAUAUUGAGUGUUCAGCCUGGUGCCUUACUCGCAGUACGUGCGCCACAUUGGCUAUGAGCUUUACUGCUGCUGUCAGGACCAGCCCCAACCAAGCUGUGAGCUCCUUUGGGGAAGGAAUUGCAUCUUGUUUCUCUUUGUCUAUCUCAGCAUUUUCUUUUUUGUUUGUUUGUUUUCUGCUUUAUCUCCCCAAACACCCCCUGUACACAGUUGUAUAUCUUAGUCGCAUGUCCUUCUAGUUGUGGGAUGUAGGAUGCCACCUCAACGUGGCCUGACGAGUGGUGCCAUGUCCGCGCCCAGGAUCCGAACCCUGGGCCGCCGCAGCGGAGCGCGCGAACUUAACCACUGGGCCAGCGGGAGACAGCCCCUAUCUCAGCAUUUUCCACAGGACUCGGCCCCCAGCAGGUGCUCUGUGUCUUUGGUUGAGUUCCUUAGAAACAGAUCCUGAGAUGGGGCCCUCCUGGCUAAGUGCUCCCAGGGGACAGGAGAGGGCCUGGGGGAAGCAAAUGGAAGAGGAAGAGGCCAACAAGGGUGCCGAGGAUGGUUUCUGCCUGUCCCACAGGACUCUGGAGUGUAAGAUACACCUCAGGGUUGUCCCCAUGCCAGACAGGGGAACUGGGCCUUCUCUCACCUGCACCCCAGUCACUGGCUAAGGGCCACCUUGGGGGAUAAACUUCCAGGCACUUCCGCCAUGCUCUGGUAGCUGAGUGCAGUCUGCAGAGAGAGAGCGCACAGCAGGGAACACACACGGAGGGCAGGGAGGGUGCACAGAAACGGAAAGGGGUCUCAGGGGAUCUGCCAUGCUCCAUAAAUAUCUUCUGGGUUGAACAGAAUCAGCCCCGGACCAGCCUCUGAAGGGUUCUGGUUCCCUGUGGAGUCGCGGGUGGUGGAGGCAGGGGGGCGGGGGCUGCCAGGCAGAGGGGAGCAGCUCUAACUACCCUGCAGAGUCCCAGCUGGUCAGAGCCAGGAGGGUCCCCCCAGUGGCCAGCCUCUCCCCUGGCUGAGCAAGGGCAGGCCUGGGGCUGCCUGAGAUGGCCUUGAGAGCCCUGACUAUGUGCCGGGCACGGAUGCCAAGUUCUUUGCAUGACUCACCCAUGUCUUCCUCACAACCACUCGAGGUAGUGUCCUGAUUCAGACAUGAGGAAACUGAGGCAUGGAGAGGCUGAGGGACCUGCUGGAGGCGCCCCAAAGAGUCAAGGGCAAAGAAAUCAAUGCCAUUAGUCAUUAGGAAAAUGCAAAAUAAAAAACCCACAAGAUACCACUUCACACCAGUAGGAUGGCUAUAAAAAGGAAAAUAACAAGCUGGCAAGGAGGAGGAGAAAUUGGAACCCUCACACACGGCUACUGAGAAUGUAUAAUGAUGCAGCUGCCGUGGAAGACAGUCUGGCUGUUCCUCAAUAAGUUAAACAUAGAGUCACCAUAUGACCCAGCAAUUCCACUCCUUGUAUGUACCAAAAGAAUUGAAAACAGGUGUUCAGACAAACCUUGGACAAGAAUGUUCAUAGCAGCACUAUUCGCAAUAGCUGAAAGGUAGAAACAACUUAAAUAUCCAUUAACUGAUGAAUGGAUAAACAAAAUGUGGUCUAUCCAUACAAUGGAAUAUUAUUCAACCAUAAAAAGGAAUAGAUUUGGGGCUGGCCCAGUGGCACAGUGGGUAAGUUCACACAGUCCGCUUCGGUGACCCAGGGUUCACCAGUUUGGAUCCUGGGCACGGACCUACGCACCACUUGGCACGCAUGCUGUGGCAGGCAUCCCACAUAUGAAGUGGAGGAAGAUGGGCACGGAUGUUAGCUCAGGGCCAGUCUUCCUCAGCAAAAGAGGAGAAUUGGCAGCAGAUGUUAGCUCAGGGCUAAUCUUCCUCAAAAAAAAAAGAAUGGAAUACUGAUACACGGUACAACAUGGAUGAACCUGGAAAACAUCAUGCUGAGUAAAAGAAGCCAGACACCAAAGACCACAUAUUGUAUGAUUCCAUUUAUAUGAAACGUCCAAAAUAGGCAGAUUCAUAGAGACAGAAAGUCGAUCGGUGGUUGCCAGGGGUUGGGGGAAGAGGAACAGAGAGUGACCACUUAAGGAGUGCUGGAACAAGAUAGUGGCGAUGGUCGCAGUGAAAUGAACUGAACUGUACACUUAUAAAUAGUUAAAUGGUAAAUUUUACGUUAUAUGUAUUUUACCACAAUUUUUUAAUAAGUUUUUAAAAAAGUGACUUAAGGGCAGAGCCUGGAUCACACCAGUUCUUGAUCCUUCCCUCCACGGGGCCUGGGAGCGGCCGACACAGAGUCAGCCACAGUGUUUCGGGAUGGACAGAACAAAUAGAACACAACUCUACUGGACGCUGUGCUGACACAGAUAUGGGACUCAAGUUGUCUGUAAACAUUCCUGUGACUUGGCCUGCUGCAGAAAUAAAAGCACUAGCCUGGAGUUCUGACACACCCGGAUAUAAAUGCUGGCUCCACCACCGGCUAUGUGAACUUGGACCCACACUGUGCCUUUCUGGGCCUCACUGUUCUCAUCUGGAAAAUGGAGCUAAGAAGAAGAGGCCCUCCGGGUUGUUGGGAGAAGUCAGUGAGUUAACACAGGUGGAAAUGCCCUGAGCAUGGCACCUGACACACAGGGAGGGCUCAGCAAAGGCUGGUCUCUUUUCUCCCUCUCCUUUACCCACAUAGGCCCUUGACCUCUAUCCCUGCCAGACUCCACCUGGACAAACACCCUCCCAGAGGUUGGACGCACACAGCAACUCUUGUCCAGGUUCCUUGAUGGACCCUGCCCAUGGGACGUUUGCAAAUUCCAAAGAGAAAACUAGUUAAUCUGUAGAAAGC
ensembl:lncRNA